rnacentral:rRNA from 2 species
GUUCGCCGGCGGCGAGAAACUUCCGGGCAAGGUGACCCUCGCUUCGGCGUCGGAGCAUACAGGCUCGGUGAGCGCAGGCCCGUCGGCGGACCGAGGAAGACCGUCGCGGUGCGGCGUCGACCGCCCGUCCUCGGCGCGCGUUCGACUGGGGGGGACUGGUUCCAGUGCCCUCCGACCGCGUGCGUCUAGCGGCGGGACGGCCCGGCGUCGCGCCUGGGGUCGGUGGCGAAACGGCCGGCAACCUGUCCGACCCGUCUUGAAACACGGACCAAGGAGUCUAACAUGUGCGCGAGUCGUUGGGCGCUACGAAACCCGAAGGCGAAAUGAAAGUGAAGGCCCGGUCUCCGGCCGGCCUAGGUGGGAUCCGGACGGUCGAGGCCGUCCGGCGCACCACCGGCCCGUCUCGUUCGCCGCGUCGAAGAGGCGGAGCAAGAGCGUACACGUUGGGACCCGAAAGAUGGUGAACUAUGCCUGAGUAGGACGAAGCCAGAGGAAACUCUGGUGGAGGUCCGCAGCGAUUCUGACGUGCAAAUCGAUCGUCAAACUUGGGUAUAGGGGCGAAAGA